AACGCACCUUGCGCUCCCUGGUAUUCCGGGGAGCAUGCCCGUUUCAGUACCAUUAAAUUCUCACAAGCUCUCUUUGCUUUGUUAUGAAGCAAUUUGUGCAUGUGGAUAUGGGCGUUUUUUUUGCAUAACACUUUCGGGUGUAUGUUGCAAAUCGCCUGGAUUUCAUUUGCGUGCUGCAGUUCGGCUCUUUUGCCGGUCAAUCAAGUGCAACAGAAUUUUCUAUUCGCUUGUGAACGGUAAGGGUAGCAGUGCUGCUCGGUAUGCAGAAUACAAUUAUACCAGUUGCAUCAGCUUCUUUGCUACAACUGUUUAACUUGGUCUGAAAUCGGGUAAGAAAACCCGCUGAACUUAA
rnacentral:misc_RNA from 1 species